GCUGUGAGCUCGAUGAGUAGGGCGGGACACGUGGUAUCCUGUCUGAAUAUGGGGGGACCAUCCUCCAAGGCUAAAUACUCCUGACUGACCGAUAGUGAACCAGUACCGUGAGGGAAAGGCGAAAAGAACCCCGGCGAGGGGAGUGAAAAAGAACCUGAAACCGUGUACGUACAAGCAGUGGGAGCACGCUUAGGCGUGUGACUGCGUACCUUUUGUAUAAUGGGUCAGCGACUUAUAUUCUGUAGCAAGGUUAACCGAAUAGGGGAGCCGAAGGGAAACCGAGUCUUAACUGGGCGUUAAGUUGCAGGGUAUAGACCCGAAACCCGGUGAUCUAGCCAUGGGCAGGUUGAAGGUUGGGUAACACUAACUGGAGGACCGAACCGACUAAUGUUGAAAAAUUAGCGGAUGACUUGUGGCUGGGGGUGAAAGGCCAAUCAAACCGGGAGAUAGCUGGUUCUCCCCGAAAGCUAUUUAGGUAGCGCCUCGUGAAUUCAUCUCCGGGGGUAGAGCACUGUUUCGGCAAGGGGGUCAUCCCGACUUACCAACCCGAUGCAAACUGCGAAUACCGGAGAAUGUUAUCACGGGAGACACACGGCGGGUGCUAACGUCCGUCGUGAAGAGGGAAACAACCCAGACCGCCAGCUAAGGUCCCAAAGUCAUGGUUAAGUGGGAAACGAUGUGGGAAGGCCCAGACAGCCAGGAUGUUGGCUUAGAAGCAGCCAUCAUUUAAAGAAAGCGUAAUAGCUCACUGGUCGAGUCGGCCUGCGCGGAAGAUGUAACGGGGCUAAACCAUGCACCGAAG
rnacentral:rRNA from 1 species